CCUACGGGGGGCAGCAGUGAGGAAUAUUGGUCAAUGGACGAGAGUCUGAACCAGCCAAGUAGCGUGAAGGAUGACUGCCCUAUGGGUUGUAAACUUCUUUUAUAUGGGAAUAAAGUUCAGCACGUAUACUUUUUUGUAUGUACCAUAUGAAUAAGGAUCGGCUAACUCCGUGCCAGCAGCCGCGGUAAUACGGAGGAUCCGAGCGUUAUCCGGAUUUAUUGGGUUUAAAGGGAGCGUAGGUGGAUGUUUAAGUCAGUUGUGAAAGUUUGCGGCUCAACCGUAAAAUUGCAGUUGAUACUGGGUGUCUUGAGUGCAGCAGAGGUAGGCGGAAUUCGUGGUGUAGCGGUGAAAUGCUUAGAUAUCACGAAGAACUCCGAUUGCGAAGGCAGCUUACUAGACUGUAACUGACGCUGAUGCUCGAAAGUGUGGGUAUCAAACAGGAUUAGAUACCCUAGUAGUC
rnacentral:rRNA from 1 species